CACUUUGGGUUUCAUUAUUAGAAACUAAUCAGCAGGUCACAGGUAAUUGAAAACAAGAUGACAUAAAUUACAUUCUACUAUAUCUGGAGGGCAUUGUACUGGGAAAAGGGAGAAAUAGAAAAAGAAUGAGAUGAUGAGAUGAGAUUUUAUUGAGGUCCAAUAGAAGAAUAGUGGGCAAAAGAUGUAAAAUCUAGAGAGAAAGAGAGA